rnacentral:rRNA from 1 species
UACGGAGGAUUCAAGCGUUAUCCGGAUUUAUUGGGUUUAAAGGGUGCGUAGGCGGUCGGAUAAGUUAGAGGUGAAAUCCCGAGGCUCAACUUCGGAAUUGCCUCUGAUACUGUUCGGCUAGAGAGUAGUUGCGGUAGGCGGAAUGUAUGGUGUAGCGGUGAAAUGCUUAGAUAUCAGGAGGAACAUCGGUGGCGUAAGCGCUUUACUGGGCCGUAAUUGACGCUGAGGAACGAAAGCCAGGGUAGCAAAUGGG